rnacentral:rRNA from 1 species
UGGGGAAUAUUGGACAAUGGGCGAAAGCCUGAUCCAGCGAUGCCGCGUGAGUGAAGAAGGCCUUAGGGUUGUAAAGCUCUUUUACCAGGGAUGAUAAUGACAGUACCUGGAGAAUAAGCUCCGGCUAACUCCGUGCCAGCAGCCGCGGUAAUACGGAGGGAGCUAGCGUUGUUCGGAAUUACUGGGCGUAAAGCGUACGUAGGCGGUGACUCAAGUCAGAGGUGAAAGCCUGGAGCUCAACUCCAGAACUGCCUUUGAAACUAGGUCGCUAGAAUCACGGAGAGGUGAGUGGAAUUCCGAGUGUAGAGGUGAAAUUCGUAGAUAUUCGGAAGAACACCAGUGGCGAAGGCGGCUCACUGGACGUGUAUUGACGCUGAGGUACGAAAGCGUGGGGAGCAAACAGGAUUAGAUACCCGUGUAGUCCCUGAGCGGGCUGGCAAGGCGCAU